GACUUCGUAGCUAAGUUGGUAGAGCAGCUGAUUCUUAAUCAGCGGGCUCAAGGUUCGAAUCCCUGCGAGGUCA
rnacentral:tRNA from 1 species